rnacentral:rRNA from 1 species
CAUGCCGUAAACGAUGAGUGCUAAGUGUUAGGGGGUUUCCGCCCCUUAGUGCUGCAGCUAAAGCAUUAAGCACUCCGCCUGGGGAGUACGACCGCAAGGUUGAAACUCAAAGGAAUUGACGGGGGCCCGCACAAGCAGUGGAGCAUGUGGUUUAAUUCGACGCUACGCGAAGAACCUUACCAGGACUUGACAUGGAAUUUAAAACUCUAGAGAUAGAGCCAUAACAAGUUCACACAGGUGG